rnacentral:misc_RNA from 1 species
GUUUAAUCAAUUUGGUGUGAAUGCAUGUAAAUUUUACAAGCGUUGUUACUCAGUAGGGUAAGCUUUUGAAAGCUUAGAGUGGAGUGUAAGAAUGAAGUGGGUCUGCGAAACUAUAAUGCGAUGUAUUUGGUAAAAUGAUAUGGAUACAGCAGAUGUAAAAAACUUGAUGAAGUACAAUGAAGAGAUACUUGAUGAGGGAAGGGCAUUUUACAAACUUUUGUCUUUGAAUUUUGUGUUGUAAUGUUAUUGUGUCGUAAUGGAAGGAUGGUUCAAU